rnacentral:rRNA from 1 species
UGGGGAAUUUUGGACAAUGGGCGAAAGCCUGAUCCAGCAAUGCCGCGUGUGUGAAGAAGGCCUUCGGGUUGUAAAGCACUUUUGUCCGGAAAGAAAUCCUUGGCUCUAAUACAGUCGGGGGAUGACGGUACCGGAAGAAUAAGCACCGGCUAACUACGUGCCAGCAGCCGCGGUAAUACGUAGGGUGCAAGCGUUAAUCGGAAUUACUGGGCGUAAAGCGUGCGCAGGCGGUUUGCUAAGACCGAUGUGAAAUCCCCGGGCUCAACCUGGGAACUGCAUUGGUGACUGGCAGGCUAGAGUAUGGCAGAGGGGGGUAGAAUUCCACGUGUAGCAGUGAAAUGCGUAGAGAUGUGGAGGAAUACCGAUGGCGAAGGCAGCCCCCUGGGCCAAUACUGACGCUCAUGCACGAAAGCGUGGGGAGCAAACAGGAUUAGAUACCCUGGUAGUCCCACGCCCUAAAACGAUGUCAACUAGUUGUUGGGGAUUCAUUUCCUUAGUAACGUAGCUAACGCGUGAAGUUGACCGCCUGGGGAGUACGGUCGCAAGAUUAAAACUCAAAUGAAUUGACGGGGUCAUAGCUGUUUCCU